UACGGGGGGGGCAAGCGUUGUUCGGCAUUACUGGGCGUAAAGGGCUCGUAGGUGGCCAACUAAGUCAGACGUGAAAUCCCUCGGCUUAACCGGGGAACUGCGUCUGAUACUGGAUGGCUUGAGUUUGGGAGAGGGAUGCGGAAUUCCAGGUGUAGCGGUGAAAUGCGUAGAUAUCUGGAGGAACACCGGUGGCGAAGGCGGCAUCCUGGACCAACACUGACACUGAGGAGCGAAAGCCAGGGGAGCAAACGGG
rnacentral:rRNA from 1 species